AUUGAACGCUGGCGGCAGGCUUAACACAUGCACGUCGAACGAGUGGCGGACGGGUGAGUAAUGCUUGGGAAUCUCGCUUCUGGAGGGGGCUCUCUUCGUGAACCUGUAGCUAAUACCGCGUACACAGGAUGACCCCAAGUGGGAUUAGGUAGUUGGUGAGGUAAAGGCGCACAAAGCCGACGCUCUCUAGCUGGUCUGCGAGGAUGACCAGCCACACUGGGACUGAGACACGGCCCAGACUCCUACGGUAGGCAGAAGUUGUGAAUAAUGCGCAAGGGGGGCAACCUGACGCAGCCAUGCUGCGUGAAUGAAGAAGGCCUUCGGGUUGUAAAGUUCUUUCGGUAGCGAGGCGUUAACUACAGAAGAAGCACCGGCUGACCCCGUGCCAGCAGCCGCGGUAAUUC
rnacentral:rRNA from 1 species